GGAGUUUUGGGGGACACAGCUGGGACAGCUGAACCCGAGUGACCACAAGGGUAUUCUCUAUUAUGUGGUGUCGUGCUCAGCAUAUAAAUCUGGGGGAAGAAUUAAGGGGGGAUGUUGGAGGUGAUGGUAUUUGCCUUCCCAGGUGGUGCUGCACGUGAUGGAGCCCUGUUUCCUUGGACGUGGCUGAACACCCACCUCCCACGGGAAGGGAUCUUGGCUGUAGAAGACAGCUGAACUGAAGAAAUCUUCUGCCUGAAGCCAAAACAAGCAGAAAAUCACUGACAGAAAUAGGUGGGAGCCUUGAAACAGAAGGUGUGCUCGUUACUCAUUUCAGAGGUGAAAAAAGGGCAUUUAAAGAAGACAGACAUCUAGGGCACUUCUUGGCAUCCCCAGGAAAAUCGUAUGGGAUUAAAAACCCACAGCAGAAUUGCUGGAAGCUGCUUCUCGAGGAUUACAACUUCACCUUUUGCUUUUAGGGAUGCUUGUUUACUAUCCAUGUGGUAACCUCUGGACAGCCGGUAAUCCAUUCAUUAUCCCCACUGAUUGAGUGAGGGAGUAGUGCAGCGGUAACUACUUCACUCGGCUGAAGGCAGACAACAAAAGGAGGAAAAUGAUGAAUUCGGACAAUUUAACCUCCCAAAGCUUCCUCUCUGCAAUUCACAGCAACGCCAGCAAUUUAUUCUCAGGUCUCCAGUUUGUUCAGUCCUUCAAGCCACUAAUCAUCCCCUGCUACUCCCUGGUGGUUUUCAUCGGUGUCAUUGGGAAUUACCUGCUCAUUUAUGUUAUCUGCAAGACAAAAAAAAUGCACAAUGUCACCAACUUUCUCGUGGGCAAUCUGGCUUUCUCAGACAUGCUCAUGUGUGCAACCUGUGUGCCCCUGACACUCGCCUACGCCUUCGAGCCCCGGGGGUGGGUGUACGGGCGCUUCAUGUGCUACUUUGUUUUCCUGAUGCAGCCCGUCACGGUGUUCGUGUCUGUGUUCACCCUGACUGUCAUAGCUGUGGACAGGUACUGUGCCAUGGUGUACCCCUUCCGCAGGAGGCUCACCAUCCCUGUCUGUGCUUACAUCCUGGCUGCUAUUUGGCUGCUGAGCUGCACCCUGGCUGCCCCAGCCUUAGUCCACACUUACCACGCGGAGUUCCCGGAGCUGGACUUCUCCAUCUGCGAGGAGUUUUGGUUCCACAUGAAAAGGGAUCGCUUGGCUUACGCCUACAGCACCCUCAUCAUCACCUAUGUGUUGCCUUUGGCUGUCAUCUCCCUGUCCUACCUGAGGAUCUCAGUCAAGCUGAAGAACCGUGUGGUGCCGGGCAAUGUCACCCAGGGCCAGGCCGAGUGGGACCGUGCACGGAGGAGGAAGACUUUUCGCCUGCUGGUCUUAGUGGUGGCAGCCUUUGGAGUCUGUUGGCUGCCUCUGCACAUCUUCAACGUGAUAAAGGACAUAGACAUCAGCCUGAUUGACAAGCAGUAUUUCAACUUUAUCCAGCUGCUGUGCCACUGGUUUGCAAUGAUGUCUGCUUGCACCAACGCCUUCCUCUAUGCUUGGCUCCACGACAGCUUCAGGGGAGAACUGAAGAAAAUGUUUGCCUGGAGAAAGAAGAAAAUUGGACCCGCUACAAACUGCAUUAUGGCCAGUGUGGUGCUGUAAACGAGGUCUGGUGGGAGUGCAUUUCCUUUGUACAGUAACAUUAAAGACACAGCAGCUCUGCACUGAAACAUUUGCUGUGUGGACCUGCAGCUGGCCUGGCCUGCCCCUUGGAGCUCUGGCUUUUGUGUGUACAGCAAGUAAAUACUUCUCCCCAUGCUCAGGGACCUCACUGUGGGUCACAGCCAUCACUGACUCUGUUCCUUUGUACCUGAUUUCCCUCCAGAUCAAGAUGCUUUACUGGAAGUCCCAGAGAGGAGCUGCAGGUGCAUCAGAGGGAACGUCUAAAAGGGGAUUUUUAAUCCCCACAUCUACAUUUCCUGCAAUUCCUAUGUUUCCAUGAGGCACUGGAGACCUUUCAGCAGCGAGCAGGACUGCAGAGAGAAGCUGGUGGUGAUGAGAUCUGCCUCUCCUGCUGAGCACAGUCCUUGGCUUCCAGACAACCUGCUGGAAAGGUGUUUGUGACUCACAGCAGCAGGAGGGGUUUGUGAGAGCCUGGGGACGUUUGUGGUGCUGAGGGUCACACUUGCCCAGCUGAGGUUCUCCCCAGCAGCAUCCCCAGGAAGGUGCUGUGCUCAGCUGGAGCAGCUGGGGCUCUGGUGAGGCCGGGCAGCAUGAGGGGUUGGCUCUCUUCCUGCAGCUUCUCAGCCACAGGGAGCUGUGUUUAUUUACCCAGCACAGCCACAAGGCAGGGCAAUGCUCUGCUGAGAACUCGACAGCAGAAGGCCCCCGGAGCCGUGAUGGAAUGUGGCAGGAAUGUGGCAGGAAUGUGGCAGGAUGCUGUCAGCCACAGCUCCAGUUGGUGUGACCAGCUGCCCUUGGGAGUGGGAAGGUGAAGCUACAGCCUGUGUUGUAAACCAAGUCCAUCCUGGGCUCGUGGAGGCAGGGCAAGAAGGAAAGAAGAAAUCAUUACUUUUUGGACUUGAAGCAAACGAUGCCCACCCCAAGGCUAAGUCUGUGAUCCCCCAGAGGUGGUCCUGUGAGAAUGCAGGAGUCACUCAAGCCCUCCUGCGCUCCCUCACUUGCGGUGUGCCACUUCAGUGGAUUUUUGAUUGUGGUUUUCCUCCCUCCCCUCAGCCCUACAGUGCAACAGGGGCAGGCCAAGCACGUGCAUGAACCACUGGUGUGAGGUCCACAUGAGCAGAGCUGUCAGUGCACAGUCUAGAGGCAGGUGAGUCUGAGGGUACAUGCACCUGUGAAAGGGUUUUUUUAUAAAAAUAAUCGAAAGAUUGAGGAUGGAAUUCCGGGGCAAGUGUUCAACCAACCCACUCCUCAGCAACUGGAGGCAGCUCUGCAGGAAGUAAGAUGAAAAUAGUUCAAAUAUUAUGUGCAAGAGUUAGCUAUGAGCUGUAUCACCAAUAUAUAUUAUAUACAAGGUAUUUAAAAUCAUUAACAAGACAAAAUCUUCAAUGCUAAGCUUUGGAAUUAUUUUCCCUCAAUUACUGGAUCAUUUUAAAUUCAACAUCUGUCGUUAAUAUGCAUAAAUUAAAAAAUAAAAAUAGAUUUGAAACCAUCUAAAGCACUAGGCAGCAUAUGGCAGACCUGUUUAAUCUUAACAAGUCAAUAAUAUUAUCAUUAUGAAUCGCUUCUCCGUUAAAAUGUGUAUUUAUAUCUGUUGUAUAAAUGAUGUUUAUUUGUAAAAGCCUUUUGUGCCACCCAUGCAAUUGUCACUUGUCACAGCUAAUUCUAGAUUGUUUCGAAAAAACAAUUUUCCUCUUGGAAAAUUGCCACAGACUGAGGACAGACAGAAAUGCAAAUCAUCACCAGUCAAAGUUCUGACAACAUCACACACAAAGUGCAGGAAGAUGUGGAAGACCUGUGUUUUGCUGUAGUUAAAAAUGAUGGGUUUCUUUAUUUUUAAGGCAUUGUGGAAAGCACUGUUCCAAACACUUUUCACCCCCCAAGAUCUACAUUCUUUCCUGGUUUCUAACAUUCUUCCUUCAUUGCUAAAUGAAGAAACAGGUUUUCCCAUGGAAGAGUUUACAGUGGCACUGCUCACCUGGAAAUGCUGCUGCCCAGGGACAGGGUGAGGACACAGGAGAAGUGGGCAUUAAAAGCCAGACUUCUCAGACCCUGAAAUCAUUAAAUUAUUGGUUAAGGGCAACAGAACUUUGAAAAGUUGUCUUUCAGUCCUUGACUGAGAAGGUUUAUCUCCUUCCCCCAUGCAUGUUAAGGAAAGGCUCUUGAAUUUCAAGUCACUAUUUUUCAUGCAGACAUCUCCCUUCAGCUCGGUGUGAGGCAGUCACAUCUCAGAGAUGCAGCAGGAGAAGUCACACCUUCACUUUGCCCCCUCAGGAGGGGCUGUCAGCAGGGUCAGCCCAGACAGCAGCUCAUUCUGCACAUCAGCAUUCAACAUUUUGGGUCAAACCCUCUCCAAGGGCAUUGUACAAUCAGCUUGGGAUGCUGUCUGUGCUCCUGUGUGUUCACUCAGUCUUACAAACUUUAGAUCUGAUUUGUGGGUUUAGCUCAGAUCUGCUUCCCAAGGAUUCAGUGGCACAGUAACAGCAGCCUCAGGUUAAAUGUCUUCUGUGAACGUGUGAACUCCAUUGGCAAGCAAAGAACAACCAACAAAUCCCAAACCCCCAACAGGUCAAAGGAAUGAAUUCACAUAACAAUUCAACAAUUCUUAAAAUGCCUUGGUUCCUGGGGAUUAGGUCACUUCUAAGAGGGGUAGAAGAUGUUUUAAUGUUUGCCCACCACUGAAGGAGGUAUGUCCAAGUGGAAUAUUUGGUGGCUUUCUAAACCAUUAUGGGUUUGCUGAGUGAUCAGAAAAGGACAAAAAAAUUGGGGGCAAGAAGAAAAUGCACAGGAUUUUUAGUGUUAAAAUGAAUUACCUGGACAAGCUGAAUCUGCAAUGUGAUGUUCAACAAACAUCCUAAUUUGCAGUGCUGAAAAUAGAGAUAAUUAGGCAAGCACUUUCACUUCCAGAUCCAACAUGAGGUAUUUGAAAACAGAGGCGGAAGGUGGGUUGGGAGAAGGCCAGACUGGCACAAGAAUAGUGUUAGACUUUCUGUCAGCAGUGAGUAAAACCAAAUGAAGUGUCAGCACAGCUUUCUGCAUCUGAAACUAUUUACAUUCAAAUAUUGAGACUCAAGGAGAUGGAUAAAGAUAAUGUAGAGCUACAGUGAGUUUCACAAUUCAUCUAUUUAAAAAUAGCUGCAAAAAUAGCAAGCUCUAGAGAUUAUCCUAAAUUGCAGAUAUCUGAAACAUGGAUCUGCAGUUUGAUUUCACCUUUUAUUGCAGAAAGUCCAAGCUCUUUGAAACAGAGUUUAGAGCAGAGACAAGUGUGUCCCUAUUGUGUCUUCUUAAAAGGAGACCAGUGAUUUAACCAAGCCACUGUGAUAUUCUGCUGUAGAUAAUAGGUCCAAAAUGAGCUUUGAGGUUUCUCUCUCCACAAGAUUUGAAUUUGACAUUCACAGCAUAACCAGAGGGUAGAAAACAGCGAAUCAUGUAGGUAGAAACUCUUGCUAAUGUCCCAUUUACAGUAACUAAACAAGUUUAAUCCCAAAAGAAAUGAAAGAGAGCUUUGAAGUGCUCUGUUUAACCUCUGUUAGCUAGAGGUGUUUUCUAUGAAAUUCAAAAUAUGUUGUCAGGGAGAGCAACAUCCUUUUAGGAAAUAUUCUAGCCUUGUGAGCUGGAUAUUGCCACUUUUAACCACCAGGACACGUUUUAGUAACUGCAGAAACACAGCAAGGAAGAUCUUACAACAAGAUAUGGCAGAGUUUAGCUGUUCAGAAGCGUGCUGAUUUCUCUUAUUAAUGGCUGGGAAUCCAGCAGGCACCUCUUACCCACUGAAUCUCAACCCUGCACAGGUACUUCCCAACAGGCACUGACGAGACAUUUGAGAAUCCACUUUGGAAUAAGCAGCAGUGUGGGUAAGCUGUCACUGCAUCUGGAAAAGAGAGAGAAGCCUGAGAGGAACCUGUGAGGUCUCUGACUCAGAGCAUUUAAGAACUGUGUUAGGCCUGGUUCCAAAUAGCUCCUUCUUCUUCUGCAGUGUAUUUGGACACACUGUCUGAGCAGGCAAGGAGCAAACACAGGUUACUCCUCAAAGCUUGCAUGGGGCACCUCCAGCUACAGUCACACUUUGGGCUGAGAACCUUCAUCCCACCUCCAUCCACAUCAGCAAUAGUCUUGAUUUCAAAUCAGGAUAACAGGAAGUUUACAAGGGGUCCCUUCUUUUCCUUUCUCCUCCUCAACACCAGUAGAAGAAAAACAGAAUAAGGUGAACUGCCAGCCUGUUUGUUUUGUGUUAUACAAUAAUCCCAAGAACAGUUUCUAACAAGUGGAAGAACCCAAGAUCUGAGAGAUCUCCUCCUAAAGCUCUGUCAGACUGAAGUCCAUGAAGCAAAACCCACAAAUAUAUAUAAUUAUCAACCUAAUAAAAAGCUAAAACAAAACUCUGAAUCAGAGCUAGUAGGUAUAUCAAGUACCAUCUCUUCUCAAGAAAUAAUUAUCAGUUUCUCUUCAACAUUCAGCAUGAAUGCAUUUGAUAAAAUUAAACGAGCCUCCCGAGGUUGUGUUAUUAGGAGAUACUAUUGCAUGAAGUCAGCUAGAGCCCACAUAGGCAAGACAGUGAUUAGAAUAACUAUCUGAUACUAAUAAAGCAGCUUAAUAAAACAGAAUUAAAAGGCCUUUCCUAAUCUGUUAGGAAAAUAAAUACUGAAAAGAAUUAAUGAAAAUGAAUUAAAACUAUUCGGGGGGAGGCAUAAAGGAUUGAUAUUCCACCUAAUCUUAGACAUCCCUGUUCUCCCAGAGUACUAAAAAGCUGUCCCCAGGCCAUUAUAUUCUUUCUAAGAAACUUUCAGAUUUCAUCCUCAUGGAUUUAUUAACUCCUUUUUGUUCCAAAUGGGUCUCUUGCUCCUACUGAUAUUACCUCUUCUGUUUCCUCUUGCACUCACCUCUCAAAAGAGGCACUGUGAGCCCCACCUCUGCUUCAGACUGUGUCAUCUGUCUUCUGUUUGGAGACCUCCUCCACUCGUGUAAAAUGCUGCAGGAUAACAGGCUCCUGAUGCUGCCCCAGCUGGCACAGCCUCCCAUCCCUGUGCCUGGAAUCUGUCUGAGCAAGAAGACAAAUCAAUACUAAUUAAAGGUCCCCUGGAAAGUAAAUUAUUGCUUGCAGUGUGGCAAGGAGCCCUGUUGCCUGUUUGUGCCUCUGGUUUAUCACCCCACAUGAACAAGGGUUUGUACCUGGAACCAGGAAUCUAUAGCUGAUAAAGGUCACAGCUCCUGUUGGGAUAAAAGGAGCCUACAGACCUCAGAGAAAAGUGGGUUUUUCAUUUCCACACAUGCAGCAGGUAAGAGUGACCAUUUCAGCUGUCUGGCUGCUGAUUUCCAGCAGCUCCCAAGGAUUGGAGCAUACACAGAAAUAUUCAAGAGCAUUUUGUGGGGUACCUGGAGUGACCUCCCAUUUCCUGCAGGAAGGAUGCUUUCUGGUAUCUGGCCUUCCUCUCUAGCAGACAAGAGCUAGAACAAGAUAAAUAGAAUCAGAGAAAAUUAUGUUAAAAAUCAGAAAUGUUGCUUAGUGCAGGUUGCCUCUCACAAGCUAGGGCAGAAAAUUCUGUUUCCUCGUACCUCUGCUAAAAGGUUUGUGAAAGUGCUCUAUCAGUAUUGCACUGGCUUCAUGUGCAGCUCAGAGGGAAGGUUCAAUAGUGACCAGCUGCAGAAAGAGGAUGUUUAAAAUGUGUCAGACCUCUUAAUUACAGAUGAUCAUUUAAUGAUUUCAGCUUUUGCUUUGAAAUGAGUCAGUGCCAUUAGUGGAGGCAGAUCCUUCCUUUAUCACAGUCCCUUCCAGCAAGGUUUGCUCUCACAGAACAUGAACCAUUUUGUUUAAUUGCUCUGUGAGAGUCCAGGACAUCAGGAAAUGGAACAUCCCACACUGGCUCAAACAUCUGUCUGAGUGUUGUGCUGCAGGAAUGUCACUCCAUCACAAGCACACAAAAGCAGUUUGGGUCAGAAAACAGCCCCCUGGCUUGUAGGAUGAUUGCUACAUGUCCAUGAGUCCAGCAGGUUCACUCAGCCUGUUUGGCCUGGGGCACUGGCAGAGCUGGAUGCAGAGCUGACUUUUCCCCCUUUCCAAUGAGAAGGUCCUUUGAGAAGGUCUCCAAGCUGUGAUUUUAGGUGGUGUUUAUAGUUUUCUCUCUAUCCAGAGCCCAUUCAUAAAAAGAGACAAGUUUCUCCAGAGAGGAUUUGCAGUUGACAAAUCCCUUUGGACUCUUAAUCAUUCUCUUGUUUUCUUUCAUUGCUCACCAAGAUUUUGUGUUUUCCAAGAUUUUUCUGGCAUUUUGAAGGUAAGCUGACUGAUAGACGAAAACCUCCAUUAGUCUUUUCCUCCCUUUCUUAGAAAAUGAAUAGAUUUGCUCUUUUCCAGUCUUCUGAAAGAACUUGGGGCUUCUCAGCUUUUUGUGCUGAAGAUUCCCCUGUUAAUGGUAAUGAGUCAGUAACUUCUUGGUCUCCUUACCUUUGUUUCUCAAUGCUUAUUUAGAACUUUCUUGCUACUCCUGAUAUCACUUGUACAAUUCUGUUCUGUACCUUCCCUUUUUACAAUUUUGUCUCCUCAUUCUCAUGCUGUUCCUUGAUACUUGUCUCAGGAGCCUCCUUUAGUUGUUACUUUCUGUAGGCAUCUUCUCUGUCCUUAAGGUGAUUGAAGAACUCAUGACUUUUCCCCAUUUUUUUUUAUUCCUUUCAGAGGGAAUUUUUAGAAAGAAACUCCCAUUUGAGCAAUACUGUCAAGAAAAGUAAAGAAAGAUACCCUCCAAAAAUACAAACUGGGAGGAUUUUUAGUGUUGCUUUUGUGUGUGACCUGAUCCUGGCAGUAAAUGCUUCCUAGACUGAUAAUUUACUCUUUCAAGCAAGAUCUUUUAAAACUUUCUUCUGAAGAAAGAAGAACCAAAACACAAAAAAACCCCAACCCAAAAUAAAAGCAAGAGGCCAGUUUAAUUUUAAGGGAUUGUAAACAAGCUCUAGCAAGUCCAUCUGCAUGCAGCAACUUUCAAGACCAUAAUAUUAAUCAUGACAAUAUACUUAAAAUUCAAAUUAAAAUAACAUUGACCAAUAACUCUACCUGCAUUUCCUAUGGAGGGGUUUUCUGGGUUAUCCCAACACUGAGGGCAGUUAAAAAGGGGGCCACACAAUCAUUAACAAAUAUGGACUUAAAAUGUGAUGCUGGGACAAUUUUGUUUAUUUUGCUUAACUGUGAGAAUCCUUUAUGUUUUUCAGGCAGUUGCAGUGGACUUGAUAUGCAGAUGUUUUACUCAUUUGAGGAAUUAAAGUGAUUAAAACUGUU